GACGAACGCUGGCGGCGUGCCUAAUACAUGCAAGUCGAGCGAGCGGCGGACGGGGGAGUAACACGGAAGGAACCUACCGCUAAGCGGGGGACAACAUCCGGAAACGGGUGCUAAUACAGCAUACUUAUCGAUGGCCUUGCGGUGCAUUAGCUCGUUGGUGGGGUAACGGCCUACCAAGGCAAUGAGGCAUAGCCGACCUGAGAGGGUAAUCGGCCACAGUGGGACUGAGCCACGGCCCAAACUCCUACGGGAGGAAGCAGUAGGGAAUCUGCCGCAAUGGGCGCAAGCCUGACGGAGCAACGCCGCGUGAGUGAAGAAGGUUUUCGGAUCGUAAAGCUCUGUUGUAAGAGAAGCGGUAUCUUACCAGAAAGCCACGGCUAACUACGUGCCAGCAGCCGCGGUAAUUC
rnacentral:rRNA from 1 species